rnacentral:SRP_RNA from 1 species
GGCGGGUGUGGUGGUGCACACCUGUGGUCCCAGCUACUUGGGAGGCUGAGGUGGGAGGAUCACUUGAUGCCAGGAGUUCAAGGCUGCAGUGAGCCAUGAUCAUGCCACUGCACUCCAGCCUGGGUGACAGAGUGAGACCCUAUCUCUA